rnacentral:rRNA from 1 species
GACGAACGCUGGCGGCGUGCUUAACACAUGCAAGUCGAGCGGAAAGGCCCUUCGGGGUACUCGAGCGGCGAACGGGUGAGUAACACGUGAGUAACCUGCCCCAGACUUUGGGAUAACCCUCGGAAACGGGGGCUAAUACCGGAUACGACACAGCUUCGCAUGGGGUCUGUGUGGAAAGUUUUUCGGUUUGGGAUGGGCUCGCGGCCUAUCAGCUUGUUGGUGGGGUGAUGGCCUACCAAGGCGACGACGGGUAGUCGGCCUGAGAGGGCGCCGGGCCACAGUGGGCCUGCGCCAGGGCCGGAGCCCCGGCGGGGGGCGGAAGGGGGGAAUAUUGCACAUGGGGCGGAGCCGUGUGGCGGCGCCCCGGCGUGGGGUAGGGCGCCUUUCGGUUUGUACACCUCUUCCGGCGGGGACGAGGCGUAGGUGACGGUACCCGGGGAAGAAGCGCCGGCCAACUACGUG